rnacentral:rRNA from 1 species
GACGUAGGGGGCGAGCGUUUGUCCGGAUUUAUUGGGCGUAAAGCGUGCGUAGGCGGCUGCGCAAGUCGGGUGUGAAACCCCGGGGCUCAACCCCGGAACUGCAUCCGAUACUGCGUGGCUAGAGGUAGGUAGGGGAGAUCGGAAUUCCUGGUGUAGCGGUGGAAUGCGCAGAUAUCAGGAGGAACACCUAUAGCGAAGGCAGCUUGCUGGGACGUUACUGACGCUAAGGCGCGAAAGCGUGGGGAGCGAACAGG